rnacentral:rRNA from 1 species
CUACGGGUGGCUGCAGUGAGGAAUUUUGCGCAAUGGGCGAAAGCCUGACGCAGCAACGCCGCGUGAGUGAUGAAGGCCUUCGGGUCGUAAAGCUCUGUCAAGUGGGAAGAACCUAUGUAAUGUUAAUAUCAUUAUAUACUGACGGUACCACUGAAGGAAGCACCGGCUAACUCCGUGCCAGCAGCCGCGGUAAUACGGGGGGUGCAAGCGUUAUUCGGAAUCAUUGGGCGUAAAGGGCACGUAGGCGGCCUGGUAAGUCAGAUGUGAAGCCCGGGGCUUAACCCCGGAAGUGCAUUUGAUACUGUCAGGCUUGAGUAUGGGAGAGGGAAGUGGAAUUCCUGGUGUAGAGGUGAAAUUCGUAGAUAUCAGGAGGAACACCGGUGGCGAAGGCGACUUCCUGGACCAAUACUGACGCUGAGGUGCGAAGGCGUGGGUAGCAAACAGGAUUAGAUACCCUGGUAGUC